UGACAUUCCACCACAAAAGAAGUGUAAAUGGCCGGUCCUUGCCUUAACUGAUGACACUACCUUGUGAAAGUCCUUUUCCUGGCUCAUCCUGGCUCAAAAAGCACCCCCACUGAGCACCUUGCGAUCCCCACUCCUACCCGCCAGAGAACAAACCCCCUUUGACUGUAAUUUUCCUUUACCUACCCAAAUCCUAUAAAACGGCCCCACCCUUAUCUCCGUUUGCUGACUCUUUUCGGACUCAGCCUGCCUGCACCCAGGUGAAAUAAACAGCCAUGUUGCUCACACAAAGCCUGUUUGGUGGUCUCUUCACACGGACGCGCAUGAAGUUUGGUGCCAUGACUCGGAUCGGGGGACCUCCCUUGGGAGAUCAAUCCCCUGUCCUCCUGCUCUUUGCUCCGUGAGAAACAUCCACCUACGACCUCAGGUCCUCAGACCGACCGGCCCAAGAAACAUCUCACCAAUUUCGAAUCCGGUAAGUGGCCUCUUUUUACUCUCUUCUCCAAUCUCCCUCACUAUCCCUCAACCUCUUUCUCCUUUCAAUCUUGGCGCCACACUUCAAUCUCUCCCUUCUCUUAAUUUCAAUUCCUUUCAUUUUCUGGUAGAGACAAAAGAGACAUGUUUUAUCCAUGAACCCAAAACUCCAGCGCCGGUCACGGGCUGGGAAGGGACUCCUUCCCAGAUCUUCUCGGCUUAGCGGCUGAAGACUGACACUGCCGGAUCACCUCGGAAGCCCCCUAGACAGUCACUGACGCCGAGCUUCAGGUAACUCUCACAGUGGAAGGUAAGCCCGUCCCCUUCUUAAUCAAUACGGAGGCUACUCACUCCACAUUACCCUCUUUUCAAGGGCCUGUUUCCCUUGCCUCCAUAACUGUUGUGGGUAUUGACGGCCAGGCAAACCUCUUAAAACUCCCCAACUCUGGUGCCAACUUAGACAAUACUCUUUUAAGCACUCCUUUUUAGUCAUCCAGGUGAAAUAAACAGCCAUGUUGCUCACACAAAGCCUGUUUGGUGGUCUCUUCACACGGACACGCAUGAAAGAGUCCUCAUGGAGAAACUCUACUAGGGCAAAGUGGAGGGGAAAUGCAGGCUUGGAGUCCCCCACACAGAAUCCCCACUGGGGCACCGCCUAGUGGAGCUGUGAGAAGAGGGUCACUGUCUUCCGGACCCCAGAAUUGUAGAUCCACUGACAGCUUGCACUGUGCUUCUGGAAAAGCCACCGGCACUCAAUGCCAGCCAGCCGGUGAAAGCAGUCGAGGGGACUGUAUCCCGCAGAACCACAAGGGUGGAGCUUCCCAAGGCCUUGAGAGCCCAGCCCUUGCAUCAGUGUAGCCUGGACGUGAGACAUGGAGUCAAAAGAGAUUAUUUUGGAGCUUUAAGAUUCAAUGGCUGCCCUGCUGGGUUUUGAACUUGCACGUGGCCUGUAGCCUCUUUGUUUUGCCUGAUUUCUCUCUUUUGGAAUGGGAGUGUUUAGCCAAUGCCUGUGCCCCUAUUGUAUCUUGGAAGUAACUAACUUGUUUUUUUAUUUUAUAGACUCAUGGGCAGAAGGGACUUGCCUUGUCUCAGAUGAGACUUUGGACUGUGGACUUUUGAGUUAACACUGAAAUGAGUUAAAAUUUAGGGGACUGUUGAGAAGAGAUUAUUGUAUUUUGUAGUGUGAGAAGGACAUGAUAUUUGGGAGGGGUUGGGGUGGAAUUAUAUGGUUUAAAUUUGGGUCCUCAUUACCAAUGCCAUGAAGCCAUCCUACAAAUCCUGGGCUGCUUACACACCAAUUAAUAUGGUUUCAAUUUGUGUCCCUGACCAAAUCUCAUGUUGAACUGUAAUCCCCAAUGUUGGGGUAGGGGUCUGGUGGAAGGUUAUUGGAUCAUGGGGGCAGACAUUCCCCUUGCUGUUCUCAUGAUGGUGAAUGAGUUCUCAUGAGAUGUGGUUGUUUAAAAGUAUGUAACACCUCUCCUCCUCUCUCUGUUUCUCCUGCUCUAGCCAUGUAAAACGUGCCUCCUCCCUCUUUGCCUUCUGCCAUGAUUGUAAGUUUCCUGAGGCCUCCCAACCAUGCUUCCUGUACAGCCUGUGGAACUGUGGAAGAAUGGUCCAGGGAACUACGAACCCAGGGUUAUCCAGGCUUACAGGGCUGAAAGCCCAGAAUGACUCAGUGCUACAUGUUUUAAGGGAACCAAUAAAGAUCAUUAUUGUUACUCAGCAAUGACAUUCCUGCCACACAGCGCAGGCUCUCUACAUUUCUAUUUACAAUCUUCAUGUUAAUCCCCAAGUAAUAUUUAGAUUGUUGUGUAAAACCCUAAAUUCUGCUCCAAAAGAAGAUUGUGCCAAAUCCAUCUAUCUGAGUCCUUCCCACUGAACUCCUCAUCUUCUUGCCCAGAGGUAGUCCUUCAAUCAUUUCCUCCAGAAAUCUUACUAAACAAAGAACAGCUGACUGCAUUUGAAUGCUCAAGACCUAAAUUGAAUGGGGAAGGAAAGAGUUACACAAAAAAACACACCAGCCAAUUGGCUUCAACUCACUUGAACUAUGAGAGCUUCUAAAAGGUACCUUUCAUGAAUAAGGUUGGAAAAGGACUACACUCAGUUAAAUUCUUUGAACAAUCAUGACAAAAGCCAACCCUAUAUCCAGCAGAAGUUGAGUAUAAAAGGGUAGAGACUGCACUGAAAAAUUGAAAAGUAAAUUAUUACAUGCAAAGCAUGUACCUUUGCAUGAAAACAGAAUUUUAUGACUGUACCAUCUCUGUCUAUUAGCCAAUAAAGUUUUAAAUGAUAUUUUUGAUGAUGUCUCCAGACCCUAAGUGUUGGAGUUUCCACAACAGAGCACUCAGAUGAGAAAGAGACAAAAAAACAAGCAGAUGGCUCUCUGGGCACGACCAUCUCUGUGGUAAUCAUAAGGGUGGGAACCUCCCUAACAGGUAUCCAGGGUUCAAGGAUCAAUGCCCCAGGGGUGAUUGUGAAUGUGAUAAUUAGUUCACAACGUUUGUACUCAUGCAUGGUAAAUCUGUAAACCAGAAUAAUCAUCAUUUAAGUAUAUGUAAUCAUAUAAAUAUAUAUACAUAGAUAUCUAUAUCAAUCUAGCUAUCUAUAUCAUAUGUAAUUGUGUAGCCAGGGCAAAUCCUCCUUAGCACUGACAUCCCUGGCUGGCAGCCUAAUUAAUAAUCAGCACUUUAUUAGGCUAUUGCCAUUUCAUAUUAUCAGUAUCUGUUUCACUCUUCAAACUUCCAAGUGAAAUAUCCAUUAAAAGGAAGUAAUGAAUCAAGGCAUUGAGCAUCAAGAGCUGCAACUACAGAAAGAAAUGACCAGACAUUAUGUGCCUCUUCUCCACAGAACACACCACGGCCUACGGCCUUAGGAGAAAGGAUUAAGCAUGAAUCUGAUCAAGACUUUGGCUCCAACUACCAAUUUGCGGGAAAUACACAGGAUGGAGGAAGAUGUUGACUCAAGCUAUGAUUAUGUAAUUUAAAAAUCCACACUGUAGAUAACUAUUCAGGUCAAAUGCAACAGAUAAAUUUUAAGAGGAAGAGAUGGAGGGAAAACUAGAGAUUAAGAGACUUAACAGCUGUUAAUUUUUUAAAUGGACAAGAUUAUACUGUCUAUUGAUGUACAUUUAGAUAAUAAAAGUAUUUAAAUAUUACACAUGAUUGAUUGCCAGGUUAGCUUAUUUUACCAUAUAAACAGAGUGGUGUAUUAUUGGGGAGGCAGGGAUUAAGACUAGGGUAGACCUUAUGGAGGGGCUUCUGGAGUGACUGGUGAAAUUCUAUUUCUUGACCUGAUUGUUUGUCUUAUAAGUCAUUAAGCAAACAUUUGUUUUGUAGCUUCUUUUGCAUCUGGUUUACUUUUAAAUAUAAAAGUUUUUUAAAGUUUAUGUGAGCAUUCACUACUCUUUACUGCUUCUCUAUUGUGCUAUUAAGACAGACAUGGUGACUUCAUGAAAA
rnacentral:lncRNA from 10 species